rnacentral:rRNA from 1 species
AGGUAGCAUAAUCAUUUGUCUUUUAAUUGGAGACUAGUAUGAACGAGAAUAUGCCUCACCUACUUUUCUAAUUUAAUCUACUGAAAUUAAUCUAUAGGUGAAUAAGCCUAUAUUAUAAAUAAAGACAGAAAGACCCUAUAGAGCUUUAUCCUCAUAUUUAUCAUAUGAAUAAAGGAUUUUAUUGGGGCAAUAUAAGAUUAACAUAAACAUCUUAAUAUACAGAUCACUAGAUAGCUACCUUAGGGAUAACAGACUAAUAUAUUAAUAAAGCUCUUAUUUGUUAAUUUGCUUAGUACCUCGAUGUUGGUUUAGGGUUUCCAAUUGGUGUAGCCGCUAAUAGGGAUGGGUUGUUCACCCAUUAA